rnacentral:piRNA from 1 species
UUGCUUCUUUAUAAAUUAAAAUUUGGCUA